AGUGAACGCUGGCGGCAUGCCUAACACAUGCAAGUCGAACGGCAGCACAGCAGUAGCAAUACUGUGGGUGGCGAGUGGCGGACGGGUGAGGAACACAUCGGAAUUUGCCCAGUCGUGGGGGAUAACGUAGGGAAACUUACGCUAAUACCGCAUACGACCUAACGGUGAAAGCGGGGGAUCGCAAGACCUCGCGCGGAUGGAUAAGCCGAUGUCGGAUUAGCUAGUUGGCGGGUAAAGGCCCACCAAGGCGACGAUCCGUAGCUGGUCUGAGAGGAUGAUCAGCCACACUGGGACUGAGACACGGCCCAGACUCCUACGGGAGGCAGCAGUGGGGAAUAUUGGACAAUGGGGGCAACCCUGAUCCAGCAAUGCCGCGUGUGUGAAGAAGGCCUCGGUUGUAAGCACUUUAUUCGGAACGAACGAAUGUCGGUGAGUAUCGGCAAGACUAGAGGUACCCGAGGAAGUAAGACACCGGCGUAACUUCGUGCCAGCACG
rnacentral:rRNA from 1 species